GGUGCCUGUAAUCCCAGCUACUCUGGAGGCUGAGGCAGGAGAAUCACUUGAACCCAGGAGGCAGAGAUUGCAGUAAACCGAUAUCACACCAUUGUGCUCUAGCCUGAGCAAAAAGAGCGAAAUUUGUCUCAAAAAAAAAAA